GGCGAUGUUUUUUUUAUUUUUUUAUUUUUGUUGGCACAAUGGCGAUGAUGUGUUUAAGCUACGUAAUUUGCCUACGGGUUUGGGUUACCGAGUGACCGUAAAUAUUUUAGGUAGCAAAAGCCACGUCUAAAUGUUUAGCAUUGGAUCCAUUUUCUCUCCUUGAAUUUGUUCCAGAAUUUAUUCCUCCAUUUAUGUAACGUCCAUUAAUGUACC
rnacentral:lncRNA from 1 species